GUCCCUUUCGUCUAACGGACAAGGACGCUGCGUUCUCAGCGCAGAAAUGUGGGUUCAAUUCCUGCAAGGGAUA
rnacentral:tRNA from 1 species